ACCUUACCCGACAUCCUCUCUUUCCCAAAUCUCUCUCAUUUCUCUCACUAUCCGACCCUGCCAGUCACAAAUCAUUGCACAAUUCGCGCAAGGUCACAAAUUCAAACCCCAAAUCACUCAAUUUGUCCCCUACAUCCACAAAUCCUGUCGAUACUUCCAUUUUCAUUACCAAAAUCCAAAAGCCCUAAUUUGAACACUAGACCUAAAUAGUUCUACUGAGAACAGUCUGUUCUCCCAUCGUUUUUUCAAAUCCAUGGCAUGCAUGACCGUGUCUUUGACUUCAUUAUCAUUAUUUGACCUCUGGACAUUUGGGCUUUGUACGAUGGGUCUUCGCCUUCAACGGCCAUCUCCUCGUGCCCAGCUGUUGGUCUUGAGUUUGGAUCCUUAAACAACUGUUGAAUUGCCUCUACUUGGUUUGCUGCUCGAUAGAAGGUAAGUACAUAUUGACCCCUUUUUACUUUGAAUUAAUCGUUUGGUUCUAUGGUUUCCUAGUUAUUUCUCUAAUUGUUCGUGCUAGAUAUUAAACUAUGUUUAUCAUGACUUGCCUCAUAUAUAUAUAUAUUGUUUUCACCGUUGAGUUAGGGAUUUUUUGAUCAAGAUAUGUUGUAUUGUUAUCAAACCUAUGCUGUCGAAUUCUAUUCUUAUCAUAUGAUUAAUAAAAAAUGCCUCUAUGUUAAAUGAUGCUCUUGUGGUCAAGCCUCUAUGACUAUUUAAAGUAAUCUCCAUGUUGUUUUUGUGUAUAACUGGCCUCUGUUAGUAAAGUAACACUCGUAUAAGCUUUAUCAUGUUAGCUGAGCCAGUUGAAUCAUAUUCUUGAACUUUUCUUUGUGUUUCUGUAUCCAGAUCAACUUGAUCCUCCUACUUGUGAUAUUGUACUGUUCUUAUAAAUAUUUUUCCUGAAGCCUAUGUAUUUUACCUGAUAACUAGCUGAUAAGUUUGUAGUUGAUAACUUGCCUAUUCUGCAUAUUCAAUGAUCCAUAUAUGGCUAUUAUUCUUUUAUCCUAUUAAAGCUUCAUUGAUCUAGAUCCUAUGCUGAUGAUGUUAUAUGUAUUCUUUUCUGCUAACCUAGUAGUUGUGAUAAAAUUAGGCUUCUAAAAUCUUUCUUGAGAACACUGUUAAUACUUGCCAACACUAAGCCAUUUGAUAUUUGUAAUGUUUUGCUGUUCUGAUUUAGUUCUUACCUCUCAUAUUAACUUGUUAGACUCUAAAUAGCAGCCUGCUUAUGUCAUUGUAAUAGCUCUAUGUGCCCUCUGUGAUGACUUAAAACCAUGUAAUGAACCUUGUUAAUGUACGAAGGAACUUGCAUUCAUGACUAAACAUAACUUGAUUAGGAUAAAACUCUACAGUGAGUACUGAAACUUGCCAUCUGGUGACUGUUUGAGUUGUAUGAGACUUCUGUUGUUAUGUUAUAAACUUAUUGUACCUGAAUGCACACCUGCCAUUAUUAAUUUGGUUAAGUUCACAGACUAUCACCUGACUUUAAUUUGAAGGAUUAUAUGUUUGCACCUAUGUGUCACAAUUCUGAUCUUACCGUGGUAAUACACUGGUCUGAGUUUAUGAUUAUUGUUUGUCAAAAGGCAUGUCUCUAAUGCUUAGGAUGAUCUGUUAUCAUGACUCUCACAGCUAGGCUUAGCCAUGACUUCGCACUAUCCUGAUCCCUAUAUGUCUGUCAAGUUAACUUGUAUCCAACCAUGUGUAGAGCUUUGUUGAGAUACUAUGCUAGUGAACCUAUUUACAUGCCCAACUGUUAGCUCAGUAUGACCUGUUUGCCUUGAUAAGUUAACGGGAAUGUCACUCACCAGCUAAGCUUACUCUUAACUAUACUGAAGCAAAAUUGCAUAUGCACUGUUCUUAUACUCUGAACCUACAUAAAAGAACUCUGAGCAUCAAACCUACAGCGAAGAUAGUAAAAUACGUACUUGAACUCAUCCUUUCAUAGUGCUGGACAAUUACUAUUUCUUAGCCGAAAGACAUGAGUAAUGAAGUAUGCCUAUUGCUUGCAUUUUUGUUAUCUUGUGUGAUUAUGUCCCAAUAGUGACUCAUGCCUACUGUAGUGUCCUGUUCUUAUACUCUAUGCUUGAUAUGAGGUUCUCUAAAGUCAAUAUUGUGCCCUUGGUUGUUUUCUAUGCUUUGAUAAUGAAUUACAAUAUUCCAUUGGUUCACAGCUGCUGAAUAUUUGUGUGUUUGAACCUUUACAGAAUUUACAAUGACUUCCACAUCUACUGUUUAUGUCUUGGCAGUAUGAAAUUGCUCUGUUGAUUCUUUAUUUGUGUUUAAGCCUUUGAGAAAGAAUAUAAGUAAGUGGUUAAUGGUAUUUGGGUGUGAAACCUAGUUGUGAAUAAGGCACCCUUCCCUGACACAAUCACUGCUCGGGGUCCAUAAGACACUCGUGAACUCUGAAGUGCGAGGGGUUCACAAGAGUAUUUUAUCCAUAAACAAAGAUUUAACCAAAGACUUUAAUUACUAACUCCUAUUAAUACUCAUAGGAUUAACAUAAAUAACAUCUGUCCCAUCGCAUUCUUUAGUUCUUUUUCUUUUUUGUCUUAAUCUCUAUCUUAUUUUAUUUUUAUAUUUGAUAUAUACUAAAUUGUCUCUUAUUUCUUUCUGUACAUGCCUCGAAUUGGGCUCACAACCCAAUUGCAAAUACAGCCUGCUCCUUCUCCAUGCAUUGUGGGUCUGCUACCUUGAUUCAAAUCCUGCUUGGCCUAGCUAGCUUAUCAGCCUAACAGUCAAAGAGUCCACCUUCUUCCUUCCUUUACCUUUAAUGAUAUUCAUCGAUGUUUGCUACUUUACAUGUAAAUAUAUCUCUGAAUGACUAACUUUUCUAUUGGAUAAAUUUUGAUAUUUUGAUUAUCUA